rnacentral:rRNA from 1 species
GACCCCGCACAAGCGGUGGAUCAUGUUGUUUAAUUCGAAGAUACGCGAAAAACCUUACCAGGCCUUGACAUACUUUGCAAAGCUAUAGAGAUAUAGUGGAGGAUAACAGAGAUACAGGUGGUGCAUGGUUGUCGUCAGCUCGUGUCGUGAGAUGUUGGGUUAAGUCCCGCAACGAGCGCAACCCCUAUUGCUAGUUGCCAUCAUUAAGUUGGGGACUCUAGCGAGACUGCCAGUGACAAACUGGAGGAAGGUGGGGAUGACGUCAAAUCAUCAUGCCCCUUAUGGCCUGGGCUACAAACGUGAUACAAUGGCUGUAACAAAGAGAAGCGAGAGGGCGACCUUAAGCAAACCUCAUAAAAGCAGUCACAGUUCGGAUUAGAGUCUGCAACUCGACUCUAUGAAGUCGGAAUCGCUAGUAAUCGUAGAUCAGAACGCUACGGUGAAUACGUUCUCGGGGUUU